AUGUCCUCAAAGCCUCAGCAGCUUCAUCCCAAGAGGCCUGAACCUAAAAAAGAAAGGAAGAAACAGUCUAAACAGAGCAAAUCUCCCAGACUCGCUCUUCCCAAAAAUGGCAACACGGCAGUUUCAUUAAAACCUCUAGGAGGAGCUCCAGUGCCUCUGACAGCAAAGUCACUGAUCACUCCUAAGACUGUCAAACGCUCUCUGGCGGCAUUUAAAGACAUUUUUGCUUCAGUCAUAGAGUCUUCGACUGUGGACAGACGCCAGACUAACAGAUGUGAUGUCAGAUCACGUCCGUCUGAGGAAAUCUGUGUAGCAGGCAGUAACACUCAUGCAGCUGACAACAGCCCAGACAACCAGGAGACCACACAAGACAGCAGGUCACAAGUCCACAGGAGUGGGCCGUCCUCCAUGAUUGAGCUGGAAGACUAUGAAGACGCUGACAGCAUAAUUUCGCUGUCAUCCAGGAGCCCAGUUCUGCUCUGCUUCAGAUCUUUGUGCCCCUCCCCUCAAGCCUCUGAUCUUACAGCGGAAGGAUACGGCCAACCUGGCUGA
rnacentral:lncRNA from 1 species